rnacentral:rRNA from 1 species
GAGUUUGAUCCUGGCUCAGGAUGAACGCUGGCGGCGUGCUUAACACAUGCAAGUCGAGCGAAGCACUUAAGUCUGAUUCUUCGGAUGAAGACUUUUGUGACUGAGCGGCGGACGGGUGAGUAACGCGUGGGUAACCUGCCUCAUACAGGGGGAUAACAGUUAGAAAUGACUGCUAAUACCGCAUAAGCGCACAGAGCUGCAUGGCUCGGUGUGAAAAACUCCGGUGGUAUAAGAUGGACCCGCGUUGGAUUAGCUAGUUGGUGAGGUAACGGCCCACCAAGGCGACGAUCCAUAGCCGGCCUGAGAGGGUGAACGGCCACAUUGGGACUGAGACACGGCCCAGACUCCUACGGGAGGCAGCAGUGGGGAAUAUUGCACAAUGGGGGAAACCCUGAUGCAGCGACGCCGCGUGAAGGAAGAAGUAUCUCGGUAUGUAAACUUCUAUCAGCAGGGAAGAAAAUGACGGUACCUGACUAAGAAGCCCCGGCUAACUACGUGCCAGCCGCCGCGGUAAUAC